GACGUAGGGCGCGAGCGUUGUUCGGAUUUAUUGGGCGUAAAGAGCUCGUAGGCGGCUUGUUACGUCGUUCGUGAAAACUUGGGGCUCAACCCCAAGCUUGCGGUCGAUACGGGCAGGCUAGAGUUCGGUAGGGGAGACUGGAAUUCCUGGUGUAGCGGUGAAAUGCGCAGAUAUCAGGAGGAACACCGGUGGCGAAGGCGGGUCUCUGGGCCGAUACUGACGCUGAGGAGCGAAAGCGUGGGGAGCGAACAGG
rnacentral:rRNA from 1 species